rnacentral:pre_miRNA from 1 species
CAAAUACUCCCUCCGUCCGGAAAUACUUGUCAUCAAAAUGGAUAAAAGGAAAUGUAUCUAGACGUAUUUUAGUUUUAGAUACAUCUAUUUUUAUCCAUUUUGAUGACAAGUAUUUUCGG